rnacentral:tRNA from 1 species
UCCUGGGUGGCUCAGUCAGUGAAGAAUCUGCCUGCAAUGCAGGAGAUCUGGGUUCAAUCCUGGAUCAGGAA